rnacentral:rRNA from 1 species
GAGUUGUUAUCUGAACCUUCUCGCCAUAAAAAGUGGGGGGGCUAAGGUAGCAGUAGUUUUCAUCAUAGUCCACCAGGAUACUCUCUUGGUGUGUACUGGGUGUUAACCUCCUUUUUUCUGGUACUUGCUAUCCAGCAAUGGGUAGUUUUGUCCAGAUAGUUUACUUUGAAAAAAUUAGAGUGUUCAAAGCAGGCAUAAUUGGCAUCAUGAAUACAUUAGCAUGGGAUAAUAGAAUAUGACAUUGGUCUUAUUUUGUUGGUUUCUAAGGCCAAAGUAAUGAUUGAUAGGGAUAGUUGGGGCCGCUCGUAUUGAGUUGUCAGAGGUGAAAUUCUAGGAUUUACUCAAGACGAACUAAUGCGAAAAGCAUUCGGCAAGGAUGUUUUCAUUAAUCAAGAACGAAAGUUGGGGGAUCGAAGAUGAUCAGAUACCGUCGUAGUCUCAACCAUAAACUAUGUCAACCGAGGAUCCGGUAGCGUUACAUGGAUGACCUUCCGGGCACUCUGUGAGAAAUCAUAAGUAUUGG